UGGGGGAAGUUCGAAGUUUAAACCAUCGUCUUAUGCAAUAUGUUUACGAUGUAUAAAUAGGAAAACUUACAAUAUUCAUUCAUUUAUUUGUAUUUUUCUGAUUACACUGCACAAGACAAUGAAGAUAUUAACUGUUGUAUACCUAUUGUUAUUGGUGUUAACGGCGGCUGUAGCCCAGUAUUACUCUGGACAAGGAAUGGGAAGAUAUCAAUUUGGGCGAAACAGAGGAGGAGGUGGUAACGUGUUACGAGGGAGAUAUUACCAGGGCAAAUGAUUACAACUACUUCAUAUUUGCUGAUUUGACAGAAAAGUGAAAUUUUUAAGCCUACCCUAUGUUUUCUUGUUAUAUUUGUAGAUUUUGUAGUUUUAUAAAUAAAAUUUACUAAACACAGAA